GAUGACUUACGCUUUAGUAUAUAAGAGAUUUGUAUGAGAUUAAAUAUUGAACAGAAACAAAAAAAAUUGUGUCGCUCCAUAGGUUAUUCUUGGGGAUUUUUUUUUUUUAAAUAAUGUAUUCAAUUUUAAGAGUUUUUCAUUGAAUACAGUUUUGAUAUAAGAUUGUGUCGCUCCAUAGGUGAUUCUUGGGGAUUUCAUAGUUUUAUUUAUUAAUUUAAUUUUAUAGAUUUAACUUUUACUGCUCAUUGUGCUUUGAGAAACUUUCAAUUCGGAAAAUAUAAGAAUGUGAUUUUUAAUUUUUGAUAUGAAAGGCUAAGAAACUUUUCAUACUUGUGAUAUGUUAACACGUGAAGAUUAAAGAUUGUCCUCAUCAUUUUGAUGGGAACGAAGAGGCUGGAAAUGAUGACAUUGUGAUCAAUGAAAACUAGCUUUUGAUCCGCGCGUCCGCGCGGAUGUAUGUUUGAUGUAAUCAUAUGUUUUAUUUAUUGUAAAAACAUUCAUAUUAUUGUUUCAUAUGUUAUUAGAUCUGACAUUGGUGUAUCUUGUUUAUGUUGUUUAGUGUACAUUUUUAAGCUUUGAGGUUGUAUUGUUCUUAUAUUGUAUUUUUUUUCUUUUACUUAGUAAACUAAACAAAGUGUAUAAUAUUAGAACAUUUAUUUGAGAUUUAAUAGUUUUAUUAAAUAAGAAAAUCUAAUUUUUUUAUUUAUAGCUUAUUUUAAUUUUUUGUUUAUAUAGCUUUA
rnacentral:lncRNA from 1 species